CCUACGGGUGGCAGCAGUGAGGAAUAUUGGUCAAUGGACGCGAGUCUGAACCAGCCACGUCGCGUGAAGGAUGACUGCUCUAUGGGUUGUAAACUUCUUUUAUAAAGGAAUAAAACGAGGCACGUGUGCCUUUUUGCAUGUACUUUAUGAAUAAGGAUCGGCUAACUCCGUGCCAGCAGCCGCGGUAAUACGGAGGAUUCGAGCGUUAUCCGGAUUUAUUGGGGUUAAAGGGAGCGUAGAUGGGUUGUUAAGUCAGUUGUGAAAGUUUGCGGCUCAACCGUAAAAUUGCAAUUGAUACUGGCAGUCUUGAGUACAGUUGAGGUAGGCGGAAUGCGUGGUGUAGCGGUGAAAUGCAUAGAUAUCACGAAGAACACCGAUUGCGAAGGCAGCUUACUAAACUGUGACUGACAUUGAUGCACGAAAGCGUGGGGAGCAAACAGGAUUAGAUACCCGUGUAGUC
rnacentral:rRNA from 1 species